rnacentral:rRNA from 1 species
UACAGAGGGGCUAGCGUUGUCCGGAUUUAUUGGGCGUAAAGAGCGUGUAGGCGGCCAGGUAGGUCCGGUGUGAAAACUCGAGGCUUAACCUCGAGAUGUCAUCGGAAACCAUCUGGCUAGAGUCCGGAAGAGGAAAGUGGAAUUCCUGGUGUAGCGGUGAAAUGCGCAGAUAUCAGGAAGAACACCAAUGGCGAAAGCAGCUUUCUGGGACGGUACUGACGCUGGAGACGCGAAAGCGUGGGGAGCGAACAGG